UAAUCGUAGAUCAGCAUGCUACGGUGAAUACGUUCCCGGGUCUUGUACACACCGCCCGUCACACCACGAGAGUUUGUAACACCCGAAGCCGGUGGAGUAACCAUUUAUGGAGCUAGCCGUCGAAGGUGGGACAAAUGAUUGGGGUGAAGUCGUAACAAGGUAGCCGUAUCGGAAGGUGCGGCUGGAUCACCUCCUUUCUAAGGA
rnacentral:rRNA from 1 species